CCUACGGGAGGCAGCAGUGAGGAAUAUUGGUCAAUGGACGAGAGUCUGAACCAGCCAAGUAGCGUGAAGGAUGACUGCCCUAUGGGUUGUAAACUUCUUUUAUAUGGGAAUAAAACGUUCCACGUGUGGGAUUUUGUAUGUACCAUCUGAAUAAGGAUCGGCUAACUCCGUGCCAGCAGCCGCGGUAAUACGGAGGAUCCGAGCGUUAUCCGGAUUUAUUGGGUUUAAAGGGAGCGUAGGUGGAUUGUUAAGUCAGUUGUGAAAGUUUGCGGUUCAACCGUAAAAUUGCAGUUGAAACUGGCAGUCUUGAGUACAGUAGAGGUGGGCGGGAUUCGUGGUGUAGCGGUGAAAUGCUUAGAUAUCACGAAGAACUCCGAUUGCGAAGGCAGUUCACUGGACUGCAACUGACACGGAGGCUCGAAAGUGUGGGUAUCAAACAGGAUUAGAUACCCUUGUAGUC
rnacentral:rRNA from 1 species